rnacentral:rRNA from 1 species
CCUACGGGUGGCAGCAGUGGGGAAUAUUGGGCAAUGGAGGCAACUCUGACCCAGCAACGCCGCGUGAAUGAUGACUGCCCUACGGGUUGUAAACUUCUUUUAUAAAGGAAUAAAGUGAGGCACGUGUGCCUUUUUGUAUGUACUUUAUGAAUAAGGAUCGGCUAACUCCGUGCCAGCAGCCGCGGUAAUACGGAGGAUCCGAGCGUUAUCCGGAUUUAUUGGGUUUAAAGGGGGCGUAGAUGGGUUGUUAAGUCAGUUGUGAAAGUUUGCGGCUCAACCGUAAAAUUGCAAUUGAUACUGGCAGUCUUGAGUACAGUUAAGGUAGGCGGAAGUGGUGGUGUAGCGGUGAAAGGCUUAGAUAUCACGAAGAACCCCGAUUGCGAAGGCAGCUUACUAACUGCCACUGACAUUGAUGCUCGAAAGUGUGGGUAUCAAACAGGAUUAGAUACCCUUGUAGUC